rnacentral:rRNA from 1 species
AUUGAACGCUGGCGGCAGGCCUAACACAUGCAAGUCGAACGGAAACAGGGAGCUUCUUCCUGCUUUCCGGGGGGGACGCGGGCGUGUGACUUAUGAAUCUGCCACUGCCUGAUGGAGGGGGACAACAACUGGGCGCGGUUACUACAACCGUCCAGCGUCGGAAGGCCGGAGAGGGUGGCAUUCCGCCCUCUCGCCAGCGCCUAGGUCGGAUUGGCUAGUUGGUGGGGUAAGGGUCUACCUAGGCGACGAUCCGUAACUGGUCUGAGAGGAUGAGCAGCCACACUGGAACUGAGACACGGUCCAGACUCCUACGGGAGGCAGCAGUGGGGAAUAUUGGACAAUGGGCGCAAGCCUGAUGCAGCCAUGCCGCGUGUGUGAAGAAGGCCUUCGGAUUGUAAAGUACUUUCAGUGGGGAGGAAGGGAAUUAAGUUAAUACCUUGCCUCAUUGACGUUACCCGCAGAAGAAGCACCGGCUAACUCCGUG